CCUACGGGGGGCAGCAGUGGGGAAUAUUGGGCAAUGGGCGCAAGCCUGACCCAGCAACGCCGCGUGAAGGAAGAAGGCUUUCGGGUUGUAAACUUCUUUUGUCAGGGACGUAGCAAGUGACGGUACCUGACGAAUAAGCCACGGCUAACUACGUGCAAGCAGCCGCGGUAAUACGUAGGUGGCAAGCGUUAUCCGGAUUUACUGGGUGUAAAGGGCGUGUAGGUGGGAUGGCAAGUCAGAUGUGAAAACCAGGGGCUCAACCUGUGGCCUGCAUUUGAAACUGUAGUUCUUGAGUACUGGAGAGGCAGACGGAAUUCGUAGUGUAGCGGUGAAAUGCGUAGAUAUUAGGAGGAACACCGGUGGCGAAGGCAGUCUGCUGGACAGCAACUGACGCUGAGGCGCGAAAGCGUGGGGAGCAAACAGGAUUAGAUACCCGGGUAGUC
rnacentral:rRNA from 1 species